UCGGCCGCAUCACUCUCUCUCUCCCAUCGAUCUCCCUCUCUUCUUCUUCCCUCUACAACCAUCGGAGAACAUCAUCUCCGGCCAUCACCUCUUAUCACCGCCACCACCCAUCAAUGCAGCAGCAAGAUGCGACCCAAACCCAAGAGAAAUCGAAGCCAUGCAUCGACCCCGACCUCUCUCUUCCGCUCUCUUUCUCUCUGCCACCACCGGAGACUCCAGCUCCGGCCACCAUCGCAUCACACCGCCUCCACCAGUCGACGCAACACCCAAACCCGACCAUAACCCAAGCCUUACCGUCGGUAUGCACCGCUGGCAGCCUCCAUGAGCAACAACCCAAGGCUGCGACGCCACUGUUGCUCGACCCUCGCCGGUUUCCAGCCAUCCCUUCACCACACUGCCACCGCCGAUCCACUCAGCAAGCAGAGCGAAGAAAAACCCAUAAACCCUCCGUCCGCCGACGGCUGACGACGCCGUUCGAGCAUCACCGGAGUUCUCGGCUCUGCAUGUCUUUGUUUUCCGACCUCCGGUCCAAAUCGAGCGAAACCACCUCCAAGGAUAGAAUCAGCACUUCAUAAUCCUCCAAAUCCCCUAGUUCUGACCUCCGAUUCCGACCAGAGCCGCCGCACGCGCCGUUGCAGGCGCGUGGACCACCGUAGCUCCGCCGCUCACAUUCGCUGAGCUUUCAGAUCGUCUCUGUUAGGACUUGAAAUCUAUGUUCGGGAGCUUUCAGAGGAAAUGAGGUCUGUGAAGUUCGGGAAUUUGGAGUUUUGGAAGGGAGGAGCUGAUGGGUCAGCUAAGUUGAUGUUGAGGAAUGGGAUCCGAAAGGUUAAAGGUGGUGGAUUGCAGCAGCGACAAAUUAGCUUCUAGUUUGAAAGAGAAGAUUGAUAAGGACUUGGUUUGGUGAUCUUGAGAUUGUUGUGGUUGAAUUGAGCAAAAUCAUGAAUUCAUGGUGAAUUGUGCAUGUUGUAAGAUGAUUGGAAAAUGGGAUUGAAUGGAGGUUGAAUUGAAGUGACUUUUUAUUUUGGGUUAAAUGCUUAAACAGUUUGGUAAUUGAGAUUGGAUCAA